rnacentral:tRNA from 1 species
GGGAUCUUAGCAUAAUGGUAAUGCUAAUGACUUUUAAUCAUUCAGAUGUAGGUUCGAAUCCUAUAGGUCCCA